AUGAACGCUAGCGACAGGCUUAACACAUGCAAGUCGAGGGGCAGCACAGGUAGCAAUACCGGGUGGCGACCGGCGCACGGGUGAGUAACGCGUAUGCAACUUACCUAUCAGAGGGGGAUAACCCGGCGAAAGUCGGACUAAUACCGCAUGAAGCAGGGGCCCCGCAUGGGGAUAUUUGCUAAAGAUUCAUCGCUGAUAGAUAGGCAUGCGUUCCAUUAGGCAGUUGGCGGGGUAACGGCCCACCAAACCGACGAUGGAUAGGGGUUCUGAGAGGAAGGUCCCCCACAUUGGUACUGAGACACGGACCAAACUCCUACGGGAGGCAGCAGUGAGGAAUAUUGGUCAAUGGCCGAGAGGCUGAACCAGCCAAGUCGCGUGAGGGAUGAAGGUUCUAUGGAUCGUAAACCUCUUUUAUAAGGGAAUAAAGUGCGGGACGUGUCCCGUUUUGUAUGUACCUUAUGAAUAAGGAUCGGCUAACUCCGUGCCAGCAGCCGCGGUAAUACGGAGGAUCCGAGCGUUAUCCGGAUUUAUUGGGUUUAAAGGGUGCGUAGGCGGCCUUUUAAGUCAGCGGUGAAAGUCUGUGGCUCAACCAUAGAAUUGCCGUUGAAACUGGGGGGCUUGAGUAUGUUUGAGGCAGGCGGAAUGCGUGGUGUAGCGGUGAAAUGCAUAGAUAUCACGCAGAACCCCGAUUGCGAAGGCAGCCUGCCAAGCCAUGACUGACGCUGAUGCACGAAAGCGUGGGGAUCAAACAGGAUUAGAUACCCUGGUAGUCCACGCAGUAAACGAUGAUCACUAGCUGUUUGCGAUACACUGUAAGCGGCACAGCGAAAGCGUUAAGUGAUCCACCUGGGGAGUACGCCGGCAACGGUGAAACUCAAAGGAAUUGACGGGGGCCCGCACAAGCGGAGGAACAUGUGGUUUAAUUCGAUGAUACGCGAGGAACCUUACCCGGGUUUGAACGCAUUCGGACCGAGGUGGAAACACCUUUUCUAGCAAUAGCCGUUUGCGAGGUGCUGCAUGGUUGUCGUCAGCUCGUGUCGUGAGAUGUUGGGUUAAGUCCCGCAACGAGCGCAACCCCUAUCCUCAGUAGCCAGCAUUUAAGGUGGGCACUCUGGGGAGACUGCCAGGGAUAACCUGGAGGAAGGUGGGGAUGACGUCAAAUCAUCAUGCCCCUUAUGACUUGGGCUACACACGUGCUACAAUGGCGUAAACAAAGGGAAGCGAGCCUGCGAGGGUAAGCAAAUCUCAAAAAUAACGUCUCAGUUCGGAUUGUAGUCUGCAACUCGACUACAUGAAGCUGGAAUCGCUAGUAAUCGCGAAUCAGCAUGUCGCGGUGAAUACGUUCCCGGGCCUUGUACACACCGCCCGUCACACCAUGAGAGUUGGGGAUACCCGAAGCCUGUGAGCCAACAUAUCUAUGAGGCAGCAGUCGAAGGUAGAAUCAAUGAUUGGGGUG
rnacentral:rRNA from 1 species